UACAGAGGUCUCAAGCGUUUGUUCGGAUUCAUUGGGCGUAAAGGGUGCGUAGGCGGCGCGGUAAGUCGGGUGUGAAAUCUCGGAGCUUAACUCCGAAACUGCAUUCGAUACUGCCGUGCUUGAGGACUGGAGAGGAGACUGGAAUUUACGGUGUAGCGGUGAAAUGCGUAGAUAUCGUAAGGAAGACCAGUGGCGAAGGCGGGUCUCGUGGACAGUUCCUGACGCUGAGGCACGAAGGCCCAGGGGGAGCAAACGGGG
rnacentral:rRNA from 1 species